rnacentral:lncRNA from 1 species
AGAACAGCUAAUCCUAUAUAUUUUAUUAAAGAGAUCUUAGAAUGGGAAUUGCAUCUGAGUCCGAUAGUCAAAGAUCCCAGAAAGACUAAAGUCAGGGAAGUGGAGAAGAGAAAGAAAGAAGGAAGAGAGAUUUUAUAUGCCAGCAUGCAAGAGGGGAGGCCUCUUACAUACUGAGAAAUUUGUGAUCUGCUUGCUUUUAGGUCCACAAAUAAUAACACGGGGAUUCUUGGCAAAGGACUUUGGGUAUGAAUUACUAUGUGUGUGUUCCUUUAUGGUGACUUUCUCCACAUGCCUUUCAACACCUUCCAUCUGUAGAGAAGCCAACCUGCUCAAGUCAAUACUUGUCAUCCUCGAGCAGGAAAGUGUUAUCUGGCUGCGGGCAUGACAGAAAGAAAAAGGAAGCAAGAGGAGUCAGCUAGAGAGAAAGAAAGAAAGAUAAGAAGGUGUUGGAUUACUGAAACUUCAUUUCACUUCAAAGAUUUCCACAAGAACAAAACAACAAAACAGAAAUGCACGCACAAAGAUAAUAAAAAUAACCACCAUUAAAAUUAAAAGCA